GGCGUAGCUCAGCUGGUAGAGUAGUAGUCUCCAAAACUAUUGGUCGUAGGUUCGAAUCCUGCCGCC
rnacentral:tRNA from 1 species